UCUUGAAACUCAAAGGAUUUGGCGGUAACUUAGUCUAUUUAGAGGAACCUGUCCUGUAAUCGAUAGUCCACGAAAAAUCUUACUUUAUCUUGUAGAAAUCAGUUUGUAUACCGUCAUUAUUAGAUAACUUUAAUAAAAUUUAAAGUUGUUGGAAUAGUCUAGCUAAUAUAUUAGAUCAAGGUGCAGCUUAUGAUAAAGAAAGAGAUGGGUUACAUUGUAAUAAAUAUAAACGGAACAACAAAUGAAGGUUUGUUGUUGAAGGUGGAUUUAAAAGUAAUAAGAUUUUAAUAAGAUCUUCUGAGUUUAGCUCUAGGUUAUGUACACAUCGCCCGUCGCUCGCGGGAAAA
rnacentral:rRNA from 1 species